rnacentral:lncRNA from 1 species
GAUGCGCUUGCUCUUUCUUCCAAAGUACUUGCAUUUUCAACAAGAGUAUCAAGUACAUCAACAAUAGAGUCAAAGCUACUAAUAAAGUUUCCAAAUGACUUGUAGUGAGAUCCCCAACGAGUAUCACCGGCUUUAACAAGACCAAGUUCUUGAUUCAACCCUCUACCCGUUUCUAGUUCACCCAUAUCCAAUGCCAUUUGAAGAUGCUUUUUUUGAGAUUCUCGAAAAUUAUUCACACGUUUAAAAGAAGCUCCCAACACAUUCAAAAUAUUUGAAAUUAAUAAUACAAGUUCACCUACUUGAACACACUUUUUAGAAACCG